AAACAGGAUCACCUGAAUCCAGUUAAUGAAUCCUCUGCCAUGGCUUGCUGUGACUCACAAGAUGUGUAGUGUUUUCUUCUAGUCUCCUCUGCCCUGCUCCAUUGCCUGCUGAAUAUUUAUGCUCUGUAUUGCCAAAGGCCCUUGGUGAAGUGACAGCACAACAAGCCAGCCCACCUUUCCAUCGGCCCAUGUGCAGCUGAGCUCACUGCGAGCAGAACGUGGUGAGACCCUCGCAAAGCAGCGCUGCGCUCUCUCAGUUGCUGCAGUCAUUUAGGUUCUGCAAUGGAGACCAGCUUGAAACGGAGUCCUGACAUUCUCUACUUAUAAUUCUAAGCACCUGAAGUGCAUGCAGCUGUAAUGCUGUAGCAGAUGAAAGAGCCUGCUGAGAGUUGCCCAGCUGUGUGGGAUGGUGGCAGGGAUGUGACUACAGAAAACUGCAUGUGCUCGCCUCCUGGGAAGCCCCCACAGCUUGCAAAAGCACUCUCAAUAGUUACCAGAAGUACGACUUGAACAGAUCCCGCUGCUUACCUCAUGGAGUGGGAAGAAAAAUGUCUCCUUCCAGCAGUGAGAGGUGGGUCCCUGGGAUACCUGAACUUCUGCAAUCUGCAACAGUCCUCCCUAGUGAGUGAAGAAGCAGAAGCCAUGCUUUCCAGCAUAACCUGUCUCUGCCACUGCUGAAAUUGUCUGUGUGAAAGCACACAAGCAGAUCUGCUGUGCUGCAGACCUUGUUUUUAUGGAAUCUGCCUGUCUGGAAGGUGCAGCUCCCUGUUCAGAUCACAUUUACAGAGAGCUCAUGCUAGACUUAAGUUUAGUCUCAGCUGGCUCUGUUGUGCCUUGCGUCAGGCUUUGGAAAACCUCUGCCAUAGGACAAGAGACCCCUCAGCUGGAGAAGUUGAUUGCUGUUCAGGCUUGUCCAGGAUCCUCAGAGGGCAGAGUAUAAGGAGUAUUCUGGAGAUGGCUGAGAGAUGCUUGUGACCUUUUGGAGAUUCCCAUUUGCCACUGCAGGGUAAGGUAAGCUGUGCUGUCACUGGGAGCCUCUGCUUUCUUGUUUCUUCCCAAAUGAUGGAAUUUGGGUGACCCAGCAGCUCCUGUUUUGUUUGUGUGCUGUAACUUCAGAGCAGCUUUAUUCACAAGGCACACGUACUUGUCAAAGUAAUAAUUCACACCAUGCUCUUCUGAAGCUUUUCUGACUAUUGUGGAGACAAAUCAAUGCUGAGGAAUCUUAUUGUGAAGAAAAUAGACACUUGUGGUUUUCCCACACAAAGUCACAGAAGAAUGCUGUCGUGCUGCUUGAUUUGGGACUGGCUUAAACUGGAAGUCUGGAGCUGGGGAUUGUGAGCAACUUGAAUCAAAGCUGAAGAAAUUUUUCCUUCAUAUUCACAUGAUUCACUUAGCCAGAUAAUGGGUGUUGCAUAACUCAAUUAUUGUAAAACCAGAAUAUGUUCCUGCUCCUAAACUUAGUUUUGUUUUUUUCUUGCACUUUAUCAAGAAGUUUCUGCCUUUGGAGAUUUAAAA